rnacentral:snRNA from 1 species
GUGGUGGAUAAGAAGCGGCAUGUCCGCGUCUUGGGCUACACGGACGCCGACCUCAACAGCCGAUUUGCCUCAAACGAUGGUGGGAAGGAGGAGCUCAUGGACGAAGCCACCGUUCGGAGGCUCAUGGCAGCCGAGAAGAGCAGGGUACUUGGGGUGCCG